rnacentral:misc_RNA from 1 species
CUACUAUCUGCAUGAGAUUGAGGGUUUAGUUCCUUAUUAGAUCACAGAGAGCUAGGGUUUCAAUUGAGCCCUGCUUCUUCUGUUUUUUCCAUAGAAGGAGAGAGAGAGGGCGGAGAGAGAUCAAGUUUUUUGUUUAUUUAUUUACUUGGAAGAUGGCAGUGAUGAGCGCUCCCCAUCCCUUAGCAUUUGCUUUUGGCAUCUUAGGCAACAUUAUCUCAGUCAUGGUGUAUCUGGCUCCAGUGCCUACAUUUUUCAGAAUAUGCAGGAAAAAAUCCACUGAAGGUUUCCAAUCUCUGCCUUACCUUGUGGCAUUAUUCAGUUCCAUGCUUUGGCUCCACUAUGCAAUGCUCAAGAAAGAUGCUCUCCUUCUUAUCACCAUCAACGCAUUUGGAUGUGUCAUAGAGACUAUAUACAUUACGUUGUAUAUCGCAUACGCUUCAAAAGAGAACAGGAUCUCAACCUUCAGACUUCUGCUUUCCAUGAACCUGGGUUUGUUCUCUAUCAUCGUCAUCCUUACACAUUUUGCAGUGAAGAAUUCAGUUCGUGUCCAAGUUCUUGGUUGGAUUUGUGUUGCUGUUUCUGUUAGUGUGUUUGCAGCACCCUUAAGCAUUGUGGCACAAGUUAUUCGAACAAGAAGUGUCGAGUUCAUGCCAUUCAAUUUGUCAUUUUUCCUUACAAUAAGUGCGAUUAUGUGGUUUGUCUAUGGCCUUUUCACCAAGGACAUGUGUGUGGCUCUCCCAAAUGUCUUGGGGUUCAUCUUGGGGCUACUUCAGAUGCUGUUAUAUGCAGCCUACAGGAAAGCAAAGGAAGUGAUUAUGGAGGAACAGCUACCAGAAAAUUUAAAGACCAUUGUGAUACUAAGCACUUUAGGGAAUUCUGAAGUUCAUCCCGUGGAUAUUCAACCUGAAUCCAUUGAAGGUGCCAAAGAAAAUGAACAAAAAGAGGAGGAUAAUAAUAAUAAUAAGAAGAAGA